AUUGAACGCUGGCGGCAUGCCUUACACAUGCAAGUCGAACGGUAACAGGCCGCAAGGUGCUGACGAGUGGCGAACGGGUGAGUAAUGCAUCGGAACGUGCCCAGUCGUGGGGGAUAACUGCUCGAAAGAGCAGCUAAUACCGCAUACGACCUGAGGGUGAAAGCGGGGGAGCGUAAGGCCUCGCGCGAUUGGAGCGGUCGCUGGCAGGUUAGCCAGUUGGUGGGGUAAAGGCCUACCAAGGCAACGAUCGGUAGUUGGUCUGAGAGGACGACCAGCCACACUGGGACUGAGACACGGCCCAGACUCCUACGGGAGGCAGCAGUGGGGAAUUUUGGACAAUGGGCGCAAGCCUGAUCCAGCAAUGCCGCGUGCAGGAAGAAGGCCUUCGGGUUGUAAACUGCUUUUGUCAGGGAAGAAAUCUUCUGGGCUAAUACCCCGGGAGGAUGACGGUACCUGAAGAAUAAGCACCGGCUAACUACGUGCCAGCCGCCGCGGUAACAC
rnacentral:rRNA from 1 species